UACACUGUAUUAAUGGAGGUGUGUCUACAGAUGCACUGUAUUAAUGGAGGUGUGGUGGAGGUGUGUCUACAGAUACACUGUAUUAAUGGAGGCGUGUCUACAGAUACACUGUAUUCAUGGAGGUGUGUCUACAGAUACACUGUAUUAAUGGAGGUGUGUCUACAGAUACACUGUAUUAAUGGAGGCGUGUCUACAGAUACACUGUAUUAAUGGAGGUGUGUCUACAGAUACACUGUAUUAAUGGAGGUGUGGAGGAGGUGUGUCUACAGAUACACUGUAUUAAUGGAGGUGUGUCUACAGAUACACUGUAUUAAUGGAGGUGUGUCUACAGAUACACUGUAUUAAUGGAGGUGUGUCUACAGAUGCACUGUAUUAAUGGAGGUGUGUCUACAGAUACACUGUAUUAAUGGAGGUGUGUCUACAGAUACACUGUAUUAAUGGAGGUGUGUCUACAGAUACACUGUAUUAAUGGAGGUGUGUCUACAGAUACACUGUAUUAAUGGAGGUGUGUCUACAGAUACACUGUAUUAAUGGAGGUGUGUCUACAGAUACACUGUAUUAAUGGAGGUGUGUCUACAGAUACACUGUAUUAAUGGAGGUGUGUCUACAGAUACACUGUAUUAAUGGAGGUGUGUCUACAGAUACACUGUAUUAAUGGAGGUGUGUCUACAGAUACACUGUAUUCAUGGAGGUGUGGAGGAGGCGUGUCUACAGAUACACUGUAUUAAUGGAGGUGUGUCUACAGAUACACUGUAUUAAUGGAGGCGUGUCUACAGAUACACUGUAUUAAUGGAGGUGUGGAGGAGGUGUGUCUACAGAUACACUGUAUUAAUGGAGGUGUGGAGGAGGUGUGUCUACAGAUACACUGUAUUAAUGGAGGUGUGUCUACAGGUACACUGUAUUAAUGGAGGUGUGUCUACAGGUACACUGUAUUAAUGGAGGUGUGUCUACAGAUACACUGUAUUAAUGGAGGUGUGGAGGAGGUGUGUCUACAGAUACACUGUAUUAAUGGAGGUGUGUCUACAGAUACACUGUAUUAAUGGAGGUGUGUCUACAGAUACACUGUAUUAAUGGAGAGGUGGUGGAGGUGUGUCUACAGAUACACUGUAUUAAUGGAGGUGUGUCUACAGAUACACUGUAUUAAUGGAGGUGUGGAGGAGGUGUGUCUACAGAUACACUGUAUUAAUGGAGGUGUGGAGGAGGUGUGUCUACAGAUACACUGUAUUAAUGGAGGUGUGUCUACAGAUACACUGUAUUAAUGGAGGUGUGGAGGAGGUGUGUCUACAGAUACACUGUAUUACUGGAGGCGUGUCUACAGAUACACUGUAUUAAUGGAGGUGUGUCUACAGAUACACUGUAUUAAUGGAGGUGUGGAGGAGGUGUGUCUACAGAUACACUGUAUUAAUGGAGGUGUGGAGGAGGCGUGUCUACAGAUACACUGUAUUAAUGGAGGUGUGGAGGAGGUGUGUCUACAGAUACACUGUAUUAAUGGAGGUGUGGAGGAGGCGUGUCUACAGAUACACUGUAUUAAUGGAGGUGUGUCUACAGAUACACUGUAUUAAUGGAGGUGUGUCUACAGAUACACUGUAUUAAUGGAGGUGUGGAGGAGGUGUGUCUACAGAUACACUGUAUUAAUGGA